UUUAAAUUGCUGUAGUAUUUUGACUAUACAAAGGUAUUGUAAUAAGACUUUAAUUGAGUGCUAAAAGAAUGGAGUUUCAAAAAAAGUCUAUCUUGAAUUCAAAAAUUGAAUUUAUUUUUAUUUGUGAAGAAACAAUAAUUAAAAUUAAGGACAAGAAGACCCUAAGAAUUUUUAAUUUUGUAUAUAUAUAUAUAUAUUUAUAUAUACAAAAUUUUAAUUGGGGCGAUUAAAAAAUAUAGUUAACUUUUAAUUUUAAAAAAUGAUCCAUUAUUAGUGAUUUAAUGUAAAAAAUACUCUAGGGAUAACAGCGUAAUAAUUUUAGAUAGAUCUUAUAGAAAAAAUAGUUUGCGACCUCGAUGUUGGAUUAGGAUUCUUUUUUAAUGAAGAAGUUAAAAUAAGAAGUUUGUUCAACUUUUAAAAUCCUACAUGAUCUGAGU
rnacentral:rRNA from 1 species